rnacentral:lncRNA from 1 species
UAGACUUGUCAAAUCACCCCAAUUAGCAGCCAAGCAUGCACUGCCACCUCCAUGCCACCUCCAGCUACUCCGGCAGCCUCCCUAGGCCAUAAUUGCUCUACUGUCACCUGAAGACAAGGGGAAAGAAAGCAAAAUCAGCAGGAUUAAAAAGAAAAUUGGAAGAGAAGAGGGGUUCGAUUUUAACAGCCAAGAAAAAAAGAAAAAACCAAAAAAAUCCAAACAACAGCAAAGACCCAGCCGAGCGACCGCCACCGUCACCGCGGCCAUCGCGCCACCGUCGUUUUCCCCCUUACCACCACCUAAAAGCCACAAUCAAUCAAAAAAGAAAAGCAAAAAAAAAAGAUAAAAAAAAAAUGCAGCAAAAAAAAACAAAAGAAAAAAAACUCAAAAAUUCGGCCGUUCCUUCACCAUCACUGUGUCCACCGCCGCGCCUUUGCUUUCCUUCCACUGCCAUCACCUACAACCCAAACAAGCAAAAGAAUAAAUAAAAACAGUGAGCAAAAAGAGAAAAAAAAAUAGCAAACAAAAACAACAAAAAGAGUAGCAAAGAAGAAAAACGAGAGAGAGGCGGAGAAGGGGAGGAGCGCCGACCAUCGCACCACCGAACAGAGGAAGCUUCAACGACAGCAGUGAGGCUAGGGUUCGGCCCGAAGAAGAAGAGAAAAAAAAGAAAUAACAAAAAAGAGAAAAAAGAAAAAAAGGAAAAUUUUAAAAAAAUAUAUAUAGACAAAAAAUUAAACAAUCAGUCGGGUUGACCCGACCCGGCCCGCCUUGAAAGCAGACCACCCAGCAGCCCAAAACAACAGCCCAGCAGAGAAAAAAAACAGCAGCAGCUCCCCAGCAGCAGGCCAGGCCCAAUCCCAGGCAGCAGCCCAAUGCAGCAGGCCAGGCCCAAUCAGCAGGCCUAGCAGGCCAGGCAGCCAACAGGCCAACCAGCAGCAGGCCCGUUCCAGCGCCAGCAGGCCCCCAGGCCCGUUCCAGCAGCAGGCCAG